UGUACCUGUCUGGGUCCAGGUCACUUCGUAGGGAAGAGUCUCUAUGAUGGUGCAGCAACAAGGAACUGGGCUAAUUACUACCUGUCCAGGGCCACAUGUGGGCCACAGGUUGGACAUGCCUGCUCUGGAACAUCUCAAAAUAUCAUGUAUACAAUCUCCAGCAUAGGCACUGGAAUAAUUAUCUCAAGAAAUCAUACAAUCACCAAGGUUGGAAAGGACCUCCGAGAUCAUCAACCAUAAAUCUACCAGCUCAUGAGAUUACAUCCAUAUAAAUGAUCUUACCGGAUCCUCUACAGUUUAUUUUGCAACACCCAGAGACCCUACCUGGAAAAAUUGCUCAAGCAAAACCAUGGAGGUCAAGAAAAAAUUAAACAAAAUAUCUAGCCUAUGACAAAAACUCACAUAAAGGGGGUGGAGUUUGACUUGGGAUUAUCUCAUGUCUUGCUGUCACACAAGAAGCAAAUAAAUUCAACAAAUGGCAUGUUC